UACAGAGGGUGCUAGCGUUGUUCGGAAUCAUUGGGCGUAAAGGGCGUGUAGGCGGUUUGUUAAGUCAUGUGUGAAAUCCCUCGGCUCAACCGGGGAACGACGCAUGAAACUGGCAAGCUAGAGUACCAAAGAGGGGGGUGGAAUUCCCGGUGUAGCGGUGAAAUGCGUAGAUAUGCGGAGGAACACCGAUGGCGAAGGCAAUCCCCUGGACCUGUACUGACGCUCAUGCACGAAAGCGUGGGGAGCAAACAGG
rnacentral:rRNA from 1 species